AGCAGCUUUUCGGUAGGACCGCCCUACGGGCGCGUGUAGGAAAGACCGAGUGAGUCAACCACGCGCGCGUGGCCUCACGCGCAGUAUAACCACACCACCGUUGAAAUAGUGGCGAAGCAACAGUGAUGAAGUAGGUUUUCAGAUGCCGACGGCGACGCAAGACCUAGAUCCACACGGAGUAGCGGCGCUCGAUGUAGAUCGGAAAACUGCGGAAGUUAGGUCGCCGUUGAGGCUGAAGAAGGAAUAUGAAGAGUGAAGCGAAAUCGCUUCGCGACGGAAUCCACGGCGGUGGUGGUUAGGUUGGUGGAACUGAAAAUGGCGAGGACGGCAGCGCCGUUGUCUCGGAAUUAGGUAACUCUUUCAUCUCUCUCCUUCAUCUCUCCUCUAUUCUUCAGUUAUUUUAGGUUUUCAUUUUUCAAAUUAAUUUUUGAAAUUAAUUUAGGUGAAUUUAGGUUUUUGAUUUUAGGUUUUUUUUGCCUCUGAUUAGUUGCGGUUGCGGUGGUGGAGGUGGCGGAGGUGGAGGUGUGGCUUGGUUCUGCGAGAAAGGGCGGCGAGUUUCGGCGGUGGAGGUGUGGCUGGGUUUUGCGAGAAAGGGCGGCGACUUUGGGUGGUCGGAUGAGGAGUCGCAAGGAAGGGCGGCGACUUUGGGUGGUCGGAUGAGGCGUCGCAAGGAAGGGCGGCGAGUUUCUUCAAAUAUGCAGGGCCAUUGAUUUGAGUGUGAUGGGAAUUUUCAUUUCACCAUUGAUGAAGAAUGUUCGCAAGUGUGAUUACUCUGAUUGUCCAAUUAUUAUUGCAUUAAUUAUUUUAUAUUUAUAUUUUGUUAAAAAUUGUAAUGAUUUAGUGGUAAUUUUCUCAUAUUUAGUUAUGAAAAUAAAUAGUUUAGUUUCAAUA